GAUCAUACAAAUGCAUCUGCAAGUCUGGCUACACGGGGGAUGGUAAACACUGCAAAGACGUGGAUGAAUGUGAACGAGAGGAUAACGCAGGUUGCGUGCAUGACUGCGUCAACAUCCCGGCAAUUACCGAUGUACCUGCUAUGAUGGAUUCCACCUGGCACAUGACGGACACAACUGUCUGGAUGUGGAUGAGUGUGCCGAGGGCAACGGUGGCUGCCAACAGAGCUGUGUCAACAUGAUGGGAAGCUAUGAGUGCCACUGCCGGGAAGGCUUCUUCCUCAGCGACAACCAGCACACCUGCAUCCAGCGGCCAGAAGAAGGAAUGAAUUGCAUGAACAAGAACCACGGCUGUGCGCACAUUUGCCGGGAGACGCCCAA